CGAGCCGCCUCUGUGACGGACGUAGCCAUGAAGGAAGAGGAGCACAGGCCCAAGGAGAAGCGAGUAACCCUGUUAACGCCCCCUGGAGCCACAGGCAGCAGUGGUGGGACUUCAGGGGACAGUUCCAAGGGGGAAGAUAAACAGGAUUGCAACAAGGAGAAGAAAGAGGCGCUGAGCAAGGUGGUAAUUCGAAGAUUACCUCCCACUUUGACCAAGGAGCAGCUUCAGGAACAUCUUUAACCUAUGCCUGAACAUGAUUAUUUUGAGUUUUUUUCUAAUGAUAUGAGUCUGUAUCCUCAUAUGUAUGCCAGAGCAUACAUCAACUUUAAAAACCAAGAGGACGUUAUUUUACUCAGGGAUCGCUUUGAUGGUUAUGUAUUCCUUGACAAUAAUGGUCAGGAAUAUCCUGCUAUGGUAGAAUUUGCACCUUUUCAAAAAGCUGCAAAAAAGAAGACUAAGAGAAGAGAUACCAGAGUCAGGACUAUUGAUGAUGAUCCAGAAUAUAGAAAGUUUUUGGAAAGUUAUGCCAUGGAUAAUGAGAAAAUGACAUCUACUCCAGAGACACUGCUAGAGGAAAUAGAAGCAAAAAAUAGAGAAUUAAUAGCUAAAAAGACAACCCCACUUUUGGGCUUCCUGAAAAACUAGCAGAGAAUGAGAAAAGAAAGAAGGAGAGAAAUAGAAAGAAAAAGGCAAAGAGAAGAAGAGAGGAGGAAAUGGAAAGAAGAGGAGAAACGAAAGCUAAAGAAGAUAAGACAGAAUAUUCCAGAAAGGGACAAAUUAAAGGAUGAACCAAAGAUUAAGCUGCUCAAGAAGCCAGAAAAAGGAGAUGAAAAAGAAAGCCAAGACAUUGGACAAAGAGAAUCUCAGUGAUGAAAGAGCCAGUGGGCAAAGUUGUACAUUGCCCAAGCGUUCUGAUAGAGAAUUUAAAGAUGAAAAACCAAAGAGACCUGAAGAUGAGAGCAGCGGAGACUACAGGGAGAGGGAACGGGAUUAUGAACGAGAUCAGGAGCGCAUACUUCGAGAAGAAGAGGCUGAAGCGGCGAGAAGAGCGCCAUAGGCAGAAGGAAUCCUAUGAGAAAGAGAAGACUUUUAAGAGAAAAGAAGAAAUGAAAAAGGAGAAAGAAACACUUUGGGAUAAAGGAAAGAAGGCCGAAAGUACAGAAUCAAUAGGAAGCUCAGAAAAAACUGAAAAGAAAGAAGUGGUCAAGAAAUUGAAUAAGAAACAAGGAUUGUCCAGCAAUGCAGCUUUACCAACCAGGAGCUCGAAGCCGAAAUCGACUCUGUCCCCCUGAUGACAGCACCAAGUCUGGUGACUCAGCAGUAGAACGGAAGCAGGAAAGUGGUAUUAGUCAUAGAAAAGACGGAGGAGAGGAGUGAUAAGUACAGAUGGCCUUAGGUGUCCUGACUGUCUAGGCAGCCAAAGAGCACACGUUAAGCAAUCCAGAAGUGCCUUCAGGGCAAAGGAAUAGAGAGAAAGGGGGUCGCUGUGCUGGUGGGGUACACUGCAGAGGAGUUACUCUUGUGUCAAAGCAGGAAUAUGAUCAGAGGUUCAGAAUUGGAAGUACGAUUUCAUUGCUUUUGCAAUUUCUACAAAUUACUUUUAAAGUGUCAGAAAAAGGUGAUGGUGAGGACAUGCAUUGCAAUUUGCAGGGGGGAAUAUCAAGUGAGGACUUCAUCACGUGUGACACGAGAGAAAAGUAAGAGCUGGUUCUAAACCAAAAGCUGUUGUUCAUCCUGAAUUGAAUUUUCUUAAUUUGGGUGGAGCAGAGUCGCUUUGAAGCCUUGUUCCAAUCUAGUUCUAUUUCAUUGUUGAUGAUAACUGUUGACUUUGUGUAGUGUAGAAACAAUAAGCAUAUGUCCUUGUAGUAAAAGUACAGGGAAGGAUAGAUCAUACUUUCGUUGAUGCAAAAAAUUUAAAUAGUUAAUGUUAAUUCUGUACCCAAUGUCCUCAAGUUUUAGGAUUAGUUUUAGUUUUUUGUUUGCUUACAUGAGCUUAGCAUAAAGAAUAUUUUUAAACAUCUCGUUUUGUCUUCAGCAUUUUUUCUAUUAAGAGGUAAAAUGUAGUCCUUGUUUGAUUCUUGACAAUUCAGUGUGUGUUUGAUCUUAGGUCUCAUGAUAUGAGUGCAUACCAUCUCAAGGAAGGAAACUGCACCAAUGUCUAUUCGUGUUAAAUAGCAACUUUUACUCUCAGCUUGUUUCGUUUUGAUGCCAAUAAAUAGUAACAGAAAAAACAACAACAACAAAAAAAACCUAAGAACCAGAAGGGCCAUCUGCGUUAUUUAAUCACCAUUAAAUAAUACCUUCCCUCCCCAUACCUGCUUAACUGUCCCACAAGUCUCCUGUGUUUUAUAAAGAUGUGGGCUAUUUUCUGAAAUGCAGAUGGGACUAGGAUGAAGCUGUGUUAUCAAUCACAGCCAACUCUUAUUUCUCUUAAAGCAAAAAUUCAUCCCACUGUGAUUUUUCCAGGUAUUUCCUGCAAAUCUAAAUCCAUGCUCGAUAACAAAGAAUAUUAAAAUCACACAGUUGUGGCAAAAAUCACAUUGUGGCUAUUAAAUCCUUUUUGUGAACUAAAAAAAAGUAAAUGUGGCUUAGGCUAAGCUGUUGUUUUUUAAGAUGAGGAUGGGGACUUCAACAAAGGCAAUAAUAAAGUACUAGAUGAAAAUGUGAAAUAUGUGAAGGAUAAUGCGAAACAUACACCCAGGUCUAACAAAUACCUAUUACUUCUCUGGUUAAGAAAUUUUGGCAGGAACCUCCAAUGAGCACUGUAUGUGAAGAAAAGGGAAGGGGAAGGAGGAUGAUGAACAAAUCGGCACAGAAUUUUCUUCUUCUUUUAAAAAACCACAAAGGGUGACUUUUUUCUUCUAAGCAACAAAGCCAAGAGGCAUUACAUGGGCUGACUCCUAAGAACAAAACAAAAUAUUUCUUUGCCACAAAGGAACUUGACUAUGUAGCAACACAUUUACAAAACUACUGCAAAAUACCCCCAGAGGGCAGUGACCUACUCUGCUCCCCAGAGGCUGCAAGAAACAAGGCCUCAAGGGCCUCACUGUUCCAUGGGGCUGUGCAGCGCAAUGCGGAAGGCAGAAAUCCUGCUGUGCUGCCACCCUCCAGACCUUCUGCAGACUGAGAGGGGGUGAGACUCCCACACCCUUUGAUCCUUCCAGAUGGCUCAGCCUAGACCUAGCAGUGAGAGCCCUCUCCAUGCAGGGCAGAUGGAGUGGUGGACACUUGUGAAAACAAAACAGUCAAUUCACUAACUGUUCCAUCCUGUUAUGUUUGUUAUGAGCAAAAUCAAGAUUCCUGUUUCAUGGGCUGCACUGUUUCUGGAAGGCUACAGAAAAUCUAACAUGGUUGAUACCUCCUGGCAGCCCUUGUCUCACACACACGCACCCACACACACCCAAGGGGAGAGACAGAGAAAAUCCUGGUCCAUAAGAUCACAUGACCUUAUUAGUGUUUCCCCAGUGGCUGUAAUUUAUAAACUAGAAAAUUUUUUAAGUCCACUGCUAUCUUUCUCUGUCCUGAGUUUGGUAGACUUUAAUGGAUGCUCUAGUAAUAACCAGAAUCUGGGACAUGCAAAUUCCCUGUGAGCGAGAGGCUAGGGAUCUGCCCGAAACACAGGAACCUGUUUCUACCAAGCCUGAAUGAGAUCAGCACUGGCAGAAUUAAUGACAAAUCAAUGUCAAUGAAAUAUUCUGCAAAUAGGGUAGUUUUUGUGCUUUCUUUUGCUUCUGUUCUUUGGGGAGAUAAAGGUAUUGCAACCAUGGGUCUAACUAAUCUAUCAUUAAAGGACUAUGAUGACAUUGGUAAAGACAGCCACGCUGUUCACGUGCCAGGGAGCAAAAACACCAAUCCCAGAUCACCAGAAUCCCAGUGCAACAGAAAAUAGCACCAGUUUCAACAAUUCUGAUGUUGGACAAAGCCUCCUUUUGUCAGUUAAGAAAGCAUCAGCACAAUCUCUCCAGUUAAUUGCAUUAAUAGGAAUCCAUUCAUGUCACUAAACAAUACUUGCUGGCACAGUUCACUUUCCUGACCUAAAGACACCAACAAUAAUCAAAACUGCACUUUUGGGGUAGUAUAUUGUUACACUAGCCCAGUCAAAACACACUCAGGUCAUUAAAAAAAUGUAAAAAUUACUGUUAGUACUGCAGUUCUGUUUUAUUUUCUUAUUUUUCUAUUGAGAUAGAGUCUCGCUCUGUUGCCCAGGCUGGAGUGCAGUGGCAUGAUCUUGGCUCACUGCAACCUUCACCUCCCAGGUUCAAACGAUUCCCAUGGCUCAGCCUCCCAAGUAGCUGGGAUUACAGGUGUACACCAUCACAUCUGGCUAAUUUUUGUAUUUCUACGAGAGACGGGGUUUCACCAUGUUGGCCAGGCUGGUCUCCAACUCCUGGCCUCAAGUGAUUCACCUGCCCUGGCCUCUCAAAGUGCUAGGGUUACAGGCUUGAGCCACUGCACCUGGCCCUCUAGUUCCUUUUUAAAGAGUACUGACUAUUUUCCUGCAAAGUACUUUCAAAUCCAUACCAUAAAGGUAGAAUUUAUCUGGAAGAAUGUGUUUCUUGAAUUUCACUUAGCAUGUGGUUAAAUCUACUUUAUUUUCCCCUUUAUUUAUUUGAACAGAACUUCAGAAUGCUUUAAGUGAGGAUAAGAAACAGUGUGUUCACUUUUAAGAAGAAUGUGUGAAUAGCAAGUUGGCAUUCAGACUCAAGCCCCACGGUGCUGUUCUUAUCCAAUGGGACCUUUCCCUGGGGAUGUAAUUCCUUUCCUAGAGGUAUCAUGGUAUCCCAAGAUUACAACUGCUCUUUGGCCCUGUGUUUCAAGACUGGGAGAGAGGAUAUAAACUAAGAGUAGAGAGCAAAAUUUAACGUUCACCAAAUGAUGUUCCCAAAAGUGCUGAACGCAAAGUGACACAGGGCUACAAGAUCCAUUUCUUUUAGUGGGAUGGAAAAGUAAAAGCUUUUCUAAGUUUAAGUGCUUUAUUGGAAUUUUUAAAUAAGGAGAACUACGAUUUUAAUUUCACAUCUUGGCUAAGGAGAUGCCACUGGAGUACGGAGACAAUCUCGUGUCCUAAGCCAGGGAUCAAUGAGUGUACCCCUUUCUAUGCCUCAAUCUCAAGACCCUCUUACUUUCCAACCAAACAACACAACUGGCAAAUGAAGCCAGCAUGAAGCCUGUAUAAAAAACCAACAAGAGAGUCUGCAGUGAGCCAGUGUAUUAUGUAGCCACUCUAAUAAAUGAUUACGUGGCUUCCCAUGUGGACCUUUCACAUCCUGGUGGGAGAUGGGAGACCAAUUUAAUAGCUCUGAGCAUGCUCCAUGAUGCAAUCAUAAGUGCCGCACCAUUACAAAGACACGCAAGCACCUGAAUUUCUCCCACAUACUUUUCAGGAACACGGUUACCCAGUGUGGGGACAGGACUGCAUCGAUGCACCUGCAAAGUAUAGUUGGAUGCUUCAGAGCACAAGGAUGAUAUCCAGGUCAGCACAGUGUAAGGCAUAUAUGGACAGGAAGAGAGGCCAUUGUGGGCAAUAAGUAGCAUUACAGGAAAGAUUCCAAACCAGCAGGACAGAAACAGUGCCUAUGCUCCAGUUUUUUAGAUAAGUAAUCCCAAGAAUCCAGUUCACCCUACUGUCAACAUGUGGGGCAGAAUUCAAUUUCUAUCAUUGUUUUUCCAGAUCUGGGCUGAGGCCAUUUGCUCAUAGCUUGGUUUAAAAAAAAAAA